ensembl:misc_RNA Metazoa_SRP Metazoan signal recognition particle RNA
GCUGGGCACAGUGGCGUGUGAUUGUAGUACCAGCUACUUGGCAGCCUGAGGCAGGAGGAUUGCUUAAGUUCAGGAUUUCUGGGCUGAAAUGCACUAAACUAAUUGGGUGUUCACCUUAAGUUUGGUAUCAAUAUGGUGACUCCACAGGAACAGGAGACCACCAGGUUGCCUGGGAGGGGUGAACUGGCCCAGAUCAGAAAAGGAUCAGGUCAAAAGUCCUGUUCUGAUCAGUAGUGGGAUUGCUCUUGUUAAUAGCCACUGCACUGCAGCCUGGGCAACAGUGGGACCCUGCCUCU